rnacentral:rRNA from 1 species
GGCGAGUGAAGCGGCAACAGCUCAAAUUUGAAAUCUGGCUCUCGGGCCCGAGUUGUAAUUUGUAGAGGAUGCUUUUGGUGAGGUGCCUUCCGAGUUCCCUGGAACGGGACGCCAUAGAGGGUGAGAGCCCCGUCUGGUUGGACGCCGAACCUCUGUAAAGCUCCUUCGACGAGUCGAGUAGUUUGGGAAUGCUGCUCUAAAUGGGAGGUAUAUGUCUUCUAAAGCUAAAUACCGGCCAGAGACCGAUAGCGCACAAGUAGAGUGAUCGAAAGAUGAAAAGAACUUUGAAAAGAGAGUUAAACAGUACGUGAAAUUGUUGAAAGGGAAGCGCUUGUGACCAGACUUGGGCUUGGUUGAUCAUCCGGGGUUCUCCCCGGUGCACUCUUCCGGCCCAGGCCAGCAUCAGUUCGCCCUGGGGGACAAAGGCUUCGGGAACGUGGCUCUCUCCGGGGAGUGUUAUAGCCCGCUGCGUAAUACCCUGUGGCGGACUGAGGUUCGCGCAUUCGCAAGGAUGCUGGCGUAAUGGUCAUCAGUGACCCGUCUUGAAACACGGACCAAGGAGUCGUCUUCGUAUGCGAGUGUUCGGGUGUCAAACCCCUACGCGAAAUGAAAGUGAACGCAGGUGAGAGCUUCGGCGCAUCAUCGACCGAUCCUGAUGUUAUCGGAUGGAUUUGAGUAAGAGCAUACGGGGCCGGACCCGAAAGAAGGUGAACUAUGCCUGUGUAGGGUGAAGCCAGAGGAAACUCUGGUGGAGGCUCGCAGCGGUUCUGACGUGCAAAUCGAUCGUCAAACAUGGGCAUGGGGGCGAAAGACUAAUCGAACCUUCUAGUA